GGCGCCUUAGCCGCCAGCCUAACACAUGCAAGUCGAGCGGUAACAGGAGAAAGCUUGCUUUCUUGCUGACGAGCGGCGGACGGGUGAGUAAUGUAUGGGGAUCUGCCCGAUAGAGGGGGAUAACUACUGGAAACGGUGGCUAAUACCGCAUGACGUCUACGGACCAAAGCAGGGGCUCUUCGGACCUUGCGCUAUCGGAUGAACCCAUAUGGGAUUAGCUAGUAGGUGAGGUAAUGGCUCACCUAGGCGACGAUCUCUAGCUGGUCUGAGAGGAUGAUCAGCCACACUGGGACUGAGACACGGCCCAGACUCCUACGGGAGGCAGCAGUGGGGAAUAUUGCACAAUGGGCGCAAGCCUGAUGCAGCCAUGCCGCGUGUAUGAAGAAGGCCUUAGGGUUGUAAAGUACUUUCAGCGGGGAGGAAGGUGUUAAGAUUAAUACUCUUAGCAAUUGACGUUACCCGCAGAAGAAGCACCGGCUAACUCUGUGCCAGCAGCCGCAA
rnacentral:rRNA from 1 species